rnacentral:rRNA from 1 species
ACGAACGCUGGCGGCGUGCUUAACACCCGCCAGUCGCACGGAAAGGCCCUGCUUUUGUGGGGUGCUCGAGUGGCGAACGGGUGAGUAACACGUGAGUAACCUGCCCUUGACUUUGGGAUAACUUCAGGAAACUGGGGCUAAUACCGGAUAGGAGCUCCUGCUGCAUGGUGGGGGUUGGAAAGUUUCGGCGGUUGGGGAUGGACCCGCGGCUUAUCAGCUUGUUGGUGGGGUAGUGGCUUACCAAGGCUUUGACGGGUAGCCGGCCUGAGAGGGUGACCGGCCACAUUGGGACUGAGAUACGGCCCAGACUCCUACGGGAGGCAGCAGUGGGGAAUAUUGCACAAUGGGCGGAAGCCUGAUGCAGCAACGCCGCGUGCGGGAUGACGGCCUUCGGGUUGUAAACCGCUUUCGCCUGUGACGAAGCGUGAGUGACGGUAAUGGGUAAAGAAGCACCGGCUAACUACGUG